UGAAUACGAGAUGCUACGGCGUCGAAGCAGUGUAUGUCAGACUUCCAAGAAAAGCUCGCAAUGUCAUAAAUAAAGAAUGCCUGUACCAUAACCGACACAGGUGGGUAGGUAGAGUAUACUAAGGGGCGCGAGAUAACUCUCUCUAAGGAACUCGGCAAAAUAACUCCGUAACUUCGGGAGAAGGAGUGCCUUCUUUAAGAAGGUUGCAAUAACAAGAUCCAAGCAACUGUUUAUCAAAAACACAGGUCUCCGCUAAGUCGUAAGACGAUGUAUGGGGGCUGACGCCUGCCCAGUGCCAGAAGGUUAAAGAAGUUGGUUAGCUUUUGCGAAGCUGAUGACUGAAGCCCUGGUGAACGGCGGCCGUAACAAUAACGGUCCUAAGGUAGCGAAAUUCCUUGUCGGGUAAGUUCCGACCCGCACGAAAGGCGUAAUGAUUUGGAUACUGUCUCGGAGAGGGACUCGGUGAAAUAGACUUGUCUGUGAAGAUGCGGACUACCUGCACCAGGACAGAAAGACCCUAUGAAGCUUUACUGUAACUUGAAAUUGAAAUUGGACUUUAUUUGCGCAGUAUAGGUGGAAGGCGUUGAAAGUAAUCUUGCGGGAUUAGUGGAGCCAUCAGUGAGAUACCACUCCUAUAAUGUUAGAUUUCUAACUUUGGAUCAUGAUCUGGUCAAAGAACAGUUUCAGGCGGGCAGUUUGACUGGGGCGGUCGCCUCCCAAAUGGUAACGGAGGCGUACAAAGGUUUCCUCUGAACGGGUAGAAAUCGUAUCUAGAGUGUAAAGGCAUAAGGAAGCUUGACUGUGAGACCUACAAGUCGAGCAGGGACGAAAGUCGGUCUUAGUGAUCUGACGGUGCUGAGUGGAAAGGCCGUCACUCAACGGAUGAAAGUUACUCUAAGGAUAACAGGCUGAUCUCCCCCAAGAGUUCACAUCGACGGGGAGGUUUGGCACCUCGAUGUCGGCUCAUCGCAUCCUGGGGCGGUAGUACGUCCCAAGGGUUGGGCUGUUCGCCCAUGAAAGCGGUACGCGAGCUGGGUUCAGAACGUCGUGAGACAGUUCGGUCCAUAUCCGGUGUAGGCGUUAGAAUAUUGAGAGGAGCCUUCUUUAGUACGAGAGGACCGAGAAGGACAUACCUCUGGUGUACCAGUUAUCGUGCCAACGGUAAACGCUGGGUAGCUAUGUAUGGAGAGGAUAACCGCUGAAAGCAUCUAAGUGGGAAGCCCACCUCAAGAUGAGUAUUCUC
rnacentral:rRNA from 1 species